ensembl:lncRNA
CUUGUCUGCACAGAGGUUGGACUGGUUGUCGGAGCUGAGGUGGUGCUGCUUGUCUGCACAGAGAUUGUACUGGUUGUAGGAGCUGAGGUUGCACUGCUUGUGUGCACAGGGGUUGCACUGGUUGUAGGAGUCGAGGUGGUGCUGCUUGUCUGCACAGAGGUUGAGCUCGUUGUAGGAACUGAGGUGGUGCUGCUUGUCUGCACAGGGGUUGCACUGGUUGUAGGAGCCGAGGUUGUGCUGCUUGUCUGCACAGAGAUUGUACUGGUUGUAGGAGCUGAGGCUGUGCUGCUUGUCUGCACAGAGAUUGUACUGGUUGUAGGAGCUGAGGUGGUGCUGCUUGUCUGCACAGGGGUUGCACUGGUUGUAGGAGCCGAGGUGGUGCUGCUUGUGUGCACAGAG